UACGUAGGGGGCGAGCGUUGUCCGGAUUUAUUGGGCGUAAAGAGCGUGUAGGCGGCCAUGUAGGUCCGUUGUGAAAACUCGAGGCUCAACCUCGAGACGCCGACGGAAACCAUCUGGCUAGAGUCCGGAAGAGGAGAGUGGAAUUCCUGGUGUAGCGGUGAAAUGCGCAGAUAUCAGGAAGAACACCCGUGGCUAAGGCGGCUCUCUAGUACGGUACUGACGCUGAGACGCGAAAGCGUGGGGAGCGAACAGG
rnacentral:rRNA from 1 species